UGGGUAACCUGCCCCUCUCUCUGGGAUAACCCCGGGAAACCGGAGCUAAUACCGGAUACUCCGGCUGGAUCGCAUGGUCCGGCCGGGAAAGGUCCGCCGGAGAGGGAUGGGCCCGCGGCCUAUCAGCUUGUUGGUGGGGUCAUGGCUCACCAAGGCGACGACGGGUAGCUGGUCUGAGAGGACGACCAGCCACACUGGAACUGAGAUACGGUCCAGACUCCUACGUGAGGCA
rnacentral:rRNA from 1 species